rnacentral:rRNA from 1 species
UACGUAGGGGGCAAGCGUUGUCCGGAUUUAUUGGGCGUAAAGAGCGUGUAGGCGGGCUGAAAGGUCAGCUGUGAAAACUCGAGGCUCAACCUCGAGACGUCGGUUGAAACCAUCUGGCUAGAGUCCGGAAGAGGAGUGUGGAAUUCCCGGUGUAGCGGUGAAAUGCGCAGAUAUCGGGAAGAACACCCGUGGCGAAGGCGGCACUCUGGGACGGUACUGACGCUGAGACGCGAAAGCGUGGGGAGCGAACAGG